rnacentral:sRNA from 1 species
AUUUAGUUACAGUUUCAGUCACAGUCUCCAUUUCGACAGUUGUUUUUGGCAACAAAAUUGUACUCCAGUAAAUAGAUUAGAUAUUUCUUCCUACAAAAUAUGAGCAAACCCUCAAAAACCUCGGAAAAGGGGAACAUUCCUAAACUACAGAAACGCAUUGCCAAAUGCAGAAGACGGCACAAGACCAAUCAAAAGGCAUUGCAGCGGCUGCAAUUGAGGAUUUUCAUCAGGAAAACUAUGAUCCUGGAGCUGGAGAAGAGACUUUUGGGCAAAAGAAAGCGCUAGACAGGGAGGAAGGGUAAGAAAACCCCCAAUAAACCCAUUGAAAGCUGGUUUAAUCAGGCAGCUAGAGAUCAUAGAACUGCAGGAGGAGGUCUACAGUUCUGAAGGGAAGGCUUUUCUUAACACAAACUAAAGGCGGAACCCUAAGGAAGAGAUUAAGAAUUGAAGAAGUGCCGAGGAAACCUCUUGCUGGAAGAAGAAUCUCAAAUAGAAAACGCUAGGCAUUAAUUAAAGGCAUUUUAGGAGGCAGCUGGAGAUCAUAGAAGUGACGGAAGAGGUAUAAAGAUCUGAAGAAAAGGCUUUUGUUGCAAGGAAAAUUACCAGAAACUGAAGGCGGAACCCAAAUCCAGAGGUUUGGGUUUGAAUAACUGCAGAGAACUCUUGUCUGGGCGAAGAAUCUCAAUCAGAAAGAGCUACAAACCCGUUGAAAGGCAGCCAGAGAUCAUAGAACUGAGGCUAGAAGUCUACAGAUCUGAAGAGAAGGCUUAUCUAAAGGCGGAACCCUAAGGAAGAGACUAAGGAUUGAAGAACUGCAGAGAAGACUUGUCUAGAAGCAGAAUCUCCAUGUGAUCUAUGAUCUCUAAAGAACAAAAAGAAACCUCCUUAAGCAGAUGAUGAUCAGGCAGCAAAAUGACUCAAAAGCCAUCCAGAAAUAUUAUUAAGAGAUUGGUUAUAUGGGAAACAGAAGAACUUACAAGAUAUUCAUUGGGAAACCUCUACAAAAAAUAAGAGAUUGAAGCACAAACUCGAGCCGCAACCGCCACAAAAGCUUGUCUGAAAAGAAAUCCUGUCCAUCGCCAAGAAACCCUGACAACAACCCGUUCAAAAUCAAUUCCCUUUUGUCUCGAAUCGAACAAAAAUAAACUAUAACAGAAUCAAACCAAAUCAAAGCAACUGAAGGGAAGUAAUGGUAUCCUUUACGGGUAUAUCCUUGUGUUGAAUGGAAAGUUUUCCACAACAUUAAUAAAUAUUUACAGGCACGUCGCGUUCUUCCACCAAAUGGUCCAAUGGUCCAGUCGUCGUCGUAGUCGUCGUCGUCUCCUUUUCUUGGGCAAUGAAAUCAAAUCAAAUAUGCGCGCCUGAUGCUCUUCCUGGCUCCCUGCGAAGGCGUGCUCACAGGAAUUUAAAUCAUUCGAAGGACUUACAUGCUACUUACAACAGCCAAAGAGCCGCCUAUAUGUAGCAAAGGAUGUGUGUGUGUGUGUGUGUGUGUGUGUGUGUGGAUAGACAGAUAGAUAGAUGGGCCAUCCCUCAGCUCUUGGCGAUGCCACGUUUUGGGGCAAGUUUUAUUAUUAUGUU